GUCUCGGUAGUGUAAGGGAUAAGAGCACGGUCUCCGAAAAGGUUAAGUACGGGUUCGAAACCCGUUCGAGACU
rnacentral:tRNA from 1 species